rnacentral:lncRNA from 1 species
CCCAAGGGGGUGUCAGUCUUUGUCGACUGACUCUGUCAUCACCCUUAUGAUGUCCUGAAUGGAAGGAUCCCUUUGGGAAAUUCUCAGGAGGGGGACCUGGGCCAAGGGCUUGACCAGCAUCCUGCUGGCAACUCCAAGGCCCUGGGUGGGCUUCUGGAAUGAGCAUGCUACUGAAUCACCAAAGGCAUGCCCCACCUCUCUGGAGAUCUUCCUAUCCUUUUCUGGGGAAUGGGGUCAAUGGGAGCAACCUCCUAGGGUUGUUGUGAGAAUUAAAUGAGAUAAAAGAGGCCUCAGGCAGGAUCUGGCAUAGAGGAGGUGAUCAGCAAAUGUUUGUUGAAAAGGUUUGACAGGUCAGUCCCUUCCCACCCCUCUUGCUUGUCUUACUCGUCUUAUUUAUUCUCCAACAGCACUCCAGGCAGCCCUUGUCCACGGGCUCUCCUUGCAUCAGGUAGGGGCUUUGCAGAGACCAUCGACGGGCUGACUUGAGUAAGAACACGAAUUAUGCAUGUGGUCAUUUCCAGAGCACUUUCUAUGUGAUACGAACAUGGGAUUUUUAUGUAAUAUGUGUAUGUAAACAAGGCAGCCUCAUUUCCAGGUGAGGAUGCAUUUGGUAGUAUUGAUUUUUGUAAUUUAAAAAAGCUGAAAGGGAGAGAGGACACGUGAGGACUGAACUCUCUGUCCCAUGGGGUAGGACUUAGAUUUACAUUAAAGAGACAGAAACUUGCUGGGAGGUGUAAGUAUUUGGUCACAUUGCUGGCAAGAGAAGGGGUUGGAGUUGGACCCAGGGUGCCACGCUAGCUACCCUCACCCCUUCUUCCCCUCUGGCUCAGAGUUAUACUAAAGAGUCCUUUUAUUUCAAACCAAAUGUUUGACAAUGGGACAGUCUGUUUGAAAUCCCAGCUGCCUGGGGUGGUCUUGGGGGUCUGGGUGGCCCCAGUGCUGGUACCAUGUGCUGGCUUCACCUUUUAAUAACGGUGUGACCUUAAACAAGUCGCUUAACUUCUGUAAGUUUCAGUUUCUUUCAUGGUCUAAAUGGAGAUUAAAACACUCACACACACACACACACACACACACACACACACUCUCUCUCACACACAUACCCUCGUGUAUCUACCCCACAGGGCGCUUUUGAAGACCAAAUGCUGUAACUACUAUGAAAGUGCUUUGUAAAUUGCUGUGGAAAGUGCGAGCUACUUAACCACCCGAGGCUGUCCCUCCUUGCUCACAUGUCCAGCCCAAUUCUCCCUUAGUGAGAACAGCACUCAGUAGGUGCUGUGUGUGUUUGUGUUCAAUUAAGAAAUUCCAGAAUAAAUAAAAAUGAAUUAAUUCAACAAACAUUUUCUGGAGCACCGACAAUCUGCCCAGUGCACCAGGCUAGGUAUCUGAUACAAAGAUAAUGAAAACAGUCUCUUGGAACCUAAUUGGGGUCCUCAUUUGACCAGGACUUUCUUUCGUCCCCUUUUAAGCUAACCAGUUUUGUCCGGACAAGACAAAAACAACUUGGGCUGCUUUAGAGAAGCCCAGCUCAGUGUAGACAAUAGCUGCCCAGCCUCUGAAAGGGGCUGAUUGGAUUAUGUGGCAAAUGGAGGUGCAAGGAUGACUUGGACGGUGACAAAUGAAGUGGGCGGAGACCUGCUUUGAGUUAAUCCAGGCUAUUAGGAGGGGACCUUUUGUCUUCCAGAGACUGGCAGGAGCUUUUACCAGUGGUUUUUACAUCCUUAAUGUUCAGGACGAAUAAUUUAUGGUCAGUGAAAAUCCAGGCCCCAGUGAGAUUCGAGUGGGCUGUAAAAUCGAGAGUCCUGCUCCCAGUGAGUAAUAGUAGUGAAUGUUUCUGUCACUUUUUGCAACUGUCCAUUCAUUUGAUCCUCACAACUCCCUGUCCUGAGCCAGGGCCGGCCCCUGUCACUCCUAGGGAAACAGAGGCUGUCAAGAGGCUCUACAGGUUAGGCCCCACUGGAUCAUUGAAUCCCUGUUCCCUGAGUUCUAGAGGAAGAAUUGUACCUGUCUCAGUCCCGGCCAUCUCCAGAAAGCCUCCUUCUGCAUUUCUGACUUUGCUCUGCCCGCAGCCUGGAGCCUCCCAGGUCCUUGCUGUCAGCUUUUCUAGCCACUACAGUCUCUGUCUUUCCUUUCACAGCCAAGCUUCUUGAAAGGCCUGUCUACACUUGCUGUCUUCCUUCCUCACCUCCAAUUUCCUCUUCAACCCACUGCUUCCUGACUCGCUCUACUCCGUGGAAGGGCACUCACAAAGGCACGUGGGCCGCGGCCCAGCUGGGUCGGCUGAAGAACUGCGGAUGGAAGCUGUGGAAGAGGCCCUGAUGGGGCCCACCAUCCCGGACCCGAGUCUUCUUCCUGGAGGGCCUCUCGUCUCCUUCCUGUUUUGGG